rnacentral:misc_RNA from 1 species
CACCAAUCAAGCCCAGCUUGGUAUUGGAGAUGGUCCCUGGACCUCUCUGGAACCCGUAGGCGGUAGCACCCAGCAUCAAGCGUAGCAAAACUAUCGCUGAAAUGUCUGGGGGCGACCUGCCUCUAAAUUCCAUCUGAA